CAGGAUUUGAAAUUUUCCUAAGUUCUCUGUUUGGUGACAUGUAUAAACAGAGGUAGACUAUAAGGUUCCACCAUUCUUGAUUGAAAAUAGGGAACGUAACAUCAUCUAAUUUCAACCAAAUUUAUAUAUAUUUUUUUGAAGUCUAUCUAGAUAUUAUAUUUAUCGAAUUGAAUAUGUGAUUGGAUGUAAUCAUUGGAUAUUCUAAACCUUUCUAAUCAAUGGUAAUCACUCCU